AACGAACGCUGGCGGCAGGCCUAACACAUGCAAGUCGAGCGAGAUCUUCGGGUCUAGCGGCGGACGGGUGAGUAACGCGUGGGAAUAUGCCCUUCUCUGCGGAAUAUCCUCGGGAAACUGAGCGUAAUACCGCAUACGCCCUUUGGGGGAAAGAUUUAUCGGAGAAGGAUUAGCCCGCGUUGGAUUAGGUAGUUGGUGGGGUAACGGCCUACCAAGCCGACGAUCCAUAGCUGGUUUGAGAGGAUGAUCAGCCACACUGGGACUGAGACACGGCCCAGACUCCUACGGGAGGCAGCAGUGGGGAAUCUUAGACAAUGGGGGCAACCCUGAUCUAGCCAUGCCGCGUGAGUGAUGAAGGCCUUAGGGUUGUAAAGCUCUUUCAGCUGGGAAGAUAAUGACGGUACCAGCAGAAGAAGCCCCGGCUAACUCCGUG
rnacentral:rRNA from 1 species